CCGUGCWAAGGUAGCGUGAUAAGUUGCCCUUUAAUUGGGGGCUUGUAUGAACGGACACACGAAAGUUUAGCUGUCUCUUUUGUAAGCAUGAAAAUUAAUAUUUAGGUGAAAAAACCUGAAUCUUCCCAAAGGACAAAAAGACCCCAUAGAGCUUAGUUUAAAUCAGGUUUAAAAAAUUUAUUAAUAAAACUAUAAAAAACCUGUAAAAACUUAACUGGGGCGGUUAAAGAAAAAAAAACUUCUUUUCAAAGUUUCAUAAACAAAAUUCGAUUAUCACUUAUCUUUAUAAUUGAGCCUAAAAUAUUUUUAAAUUUAUUUAGACCAAAGGAAAAGCUACCUUGGGGAUAACAGAUUUAUCCUUCUUAAGAGUCCAUAUUGACAGAAGGGUUUGACACCUCGAUGUUGGCUUAGGGAAUCCUAAAGGUCAGCARAAGCCUUUAACGGUAGGUUUGUUCAACCUUAAAAACCCUACAUGAUCUGAG
rnacentral:rRNA from 1 species